UCGUAUCAACAGACGGGGAGUUCAAGAGAGACGAAGCAUACUAUCUAUCUCACUUACGCAAGCGAUCGUGCUCAUUUUAAGUUUAGUUAAGUUUGUUUAGUUUGAACGAACGUUUAGCCUCGAAUAAUAUUAUUCUCACAAUUAAUCUUUGAUUAAUCUUUCUGUGAACAAGAAUAAUCGGAUUAAUCUAUCCGAUUAUAGCUCUGGUAUCCAUUAAUCUUCCUAUUAUUGCAGUGACAAACGCGGGGGACUGGAGAAGGAGCCUUAAAAAACACACACAAUGCUGCAGAAAUGUCCAAUCAGCCAUAAGGACGCGACGAGAAGCAGGCUUUAUGAAAGAGUAAAAGCAUACACAGUGUAGUUUAAUUUAUAUUAACUACAUAUUGUACAAAUGUUUAUUUAGUUUCGUGUUCCUUAUGAGAUGCCCACUGGUGCCAUCGUUUUUAACCUCAAUUCGCCGAAUCUUGCUCAAUAUCGGU